UUAGGUUCUAAUUAGCAAGGCAGUGAGGUGAUUGACAUCAAUCCAAUUGAUUAUAUUUAAUCCAAUUACUUAGUGAAUUAAAACUUCCUUUUAAUUCACCUUUCUUCUUUGAUGACUACAUUUAAUCAUCUAGAAGAACUCACAAGCUAUGAGUGACAUCUAACCAUAUGUCAUAGCUACCCAAGCUAAUGUAGAAGUUGUUCGGAGAACCUAUUCAGUUGGAAUUACAAUGUAAUUCGAUCCUUCUCUAAAACAAUACUCUCAAUCACAUUACUAGGGUAUGGAUAUAUUAUGUCAAACCCCUAAUGUGAUUAUUCCUUCUUAUAUGAUUCAAUUGAGUUGUAUAGGAACGCUUUCCUUUAUUACGCUCGAUACUUCGGCCGAAGAUUCCCGAAUCAUAUCUUAGAGUAUUCUUCCUCUCUUAUCGAGGAUUAGAGAUUCCUUGUUGCGCAUUCACUUGCCUUCAUGACUAAGUGGCUUAACCCCAAUCAUGCCGUGGACAUCCGCGAAUGGGGUGACUUUGACACAAUGAAAGAUUAAGUACUUAGCCACAAGACAACGAUGAUGCCUCAGGUCAAAGGACUACUUACAUUAUUCCAACCAUUAGAGUUACUUGCUUGACAUGUGAGUAGACCUCCAUGCAAGUACUCUCGUUCGAUUGUGUUCAGUGAACUCAUUCCCUUAAUGAGCACUUACAUACUUGUCUUAGUGUCACUACACAAAUGGGAUGAGACUUUCCAUUUUUCCAUUUGAAGCGGACACAGUAUGUACCGGUCUAAGCAUUGUCAGUAUCCCUCCGACAAUCCAAUGACCAAGAACCUUUUGGACAUAAUGGUUAUGUGAAGAAGGUCUCUGUAGUCUAACAUCAUUAGAUUACUUCUUCAAUCGAUCCAUUGUCCAUGGAUUCAUUAAUUAGGACAUAUAUCGUUUAUGAGAUAGUCCUAAUUAGUAUCUUUGCCAUUUGAUGUAUAAGAGUCAUCCAUACAUCGAUUCAUUUGUCCUGAAAGGUUUCUUCCAAAGAUUGACUUUCAGGGCAUAUUUCCAACAAUCUCCCACUUGCACUAAAGUCAAUCACUAGUGUAUCUUAUACAUGCUAGUUGAGAGAGCUUAUGCUCGUAGGUUAACUCGGUUAUGUAUUAAUCCCUUUUAUUAUCUAAAAGGGAUUUACUUAUCAAAUGUUUCCAAAACAUUUGAUGAUGUCUCUUUCUUGUGUUCGAAUACUUUGAUGAGACCUUGAUUCCAUGGCUUGAGCUAUUGCUCCAUUACGUCGUAGUAUCCUACUAACGACCUUAUGGUUUGGAUUCAAUCAUUGGUUCUAUAAGAACCCCUUCAUUCAAAACACCUUUUGAAGCAGUUUCUAAAACAAUAUAUCGUCAUAUAUUUCGUUUGUAUACCUUAUACAAACUUUGCUCCAACCUUGAGACCAUUGUAGUACAAUACUAACAAUCAUUCAUAUGAUUAUUACUUCAUCCAUUAUGAAGUUCCAUUUGUUAAAAUGGCUUAUUUUCACUUUGGUUAACAACUUAAGUGAAUGCACGCUUCCAGAGUCCCACUCUGAUGUUUCUUUCUUUAAAGGCAAUAAUACUCUUUCAGUUGCUUUGGUUCUGAUCCUGGGAUUUAGUAAUAUCUUAUAGUGACAACCCCUGUGGUUCUUCACUUUUGGAUAUCUACUUCACAAGUCCAUACAUGUGUCCCUUUUGUGAUUUUGUGACACAUUCAUUAUAAGGGUUAUGAAAGUGAUUUCCUAUCACAUAGGAAAAUGUUUUCUUAAAUCCACAACAUUUGAGAUUUAAUUCCCAUAUAACAUUAUUGAGAUAGCCUUGCUAUAUCAAUAAGUCCAAUUUCAAGUCUAUACUUCAAAAUUGACCAUGUCAUGUUUUGUCAUUUCUCAAGUAACAUCUAUGUUUUAUCAAGUCUAUCGAAUAGACUUUAUUCACAUCUUGUUGCUCAAACUAUGACAUCACUCCCACUGGCCUUGUUGUAACUUAGCAUUCAUUCAAAAAUAACAAUUAUAUUUUCUUGAUUUGAAUGCAUAUUGCUCCAACUAACUUAAAUGAAUCAUACAAAAAAGAAUUCCUUCUCAAGUAAUUCCAUUUGAAAUGUGUGACUUGUUUCAUUAAGUCUAUUCAUUUAAAUUAUAUGGUGUCAUACACCAUACUUCAAGUUUUAGUCAUACUAAGACCUUUAAUGUAGUCAUAUAAGAAUUAUCCAAGUCUUUAGUGGAAGCAUGGCUCCUACUAAGGAUAUAGAAACUCAACCAUUCCUUCUAGGUGGUUGAUAUAAUUCUUUAUUAAAACUACAUAGAGCAAUAUUGUUACAUGAGAUGUUGAAUUUGGAUUGUCUUGUAGUUAAACCAUAAGUUGUGACUCAUUUUGAGACUAUUUCCCUUUUGUUUCAUCAACUUGUCCAUAUGCUUAGUUAUUUAGCUUGUUCUCAUAAAAGAGAAUGAUGGACAACUCCCAACAUAUAACCAUUUCAUGCUAGGUUGACGAAACCAACAUUCAAAGACUAUUCUUUAGAAUGUUACACAACAUAGAAUUUUAACGUUUGAAGAUCUUGAGUCCUUUUAACAAUUAAAAUUACAAACUUUUAAUAAUAGUCAAGUACUAUUAUUCUUUAGACAACUAUAAACCAAUCACAUUCAAGUUUAUAUCCAUUUUCACACCUCCCACUAUUUCUCAUGACUUUAAUGAGAAAUCAUUUCAUACAUUCAAAAUGUAUAAAAGUGGAGUACAUUGGUAGAAGACAUUGUGUAGUAGCUUUAAAACAUUUCAAGCUCAUUUGUUUCAAUCUUCACUAAGUUAAUGUCUUGUUAUUAAGUGACUAAAGUCUUUAAACAUUUUAUAGAUUUAGACACUUCUUUCUUGGUUUAAUCACUAACACAAUUGACAUUUUAAAUCAAUUUUAAAAUUGCCCAAUUAGUUGUUCAAAAUUACUAAUUGAAUCAAGAGUGAUCUUGAUCAUUGUGUUUCAAGUGAUAACCAUAUAAGAAACGUUUUUCUUAUUUCUUAUGUCAUUAUAAUGUGAUAUUCCUUUUCUUCAAGAAAGGAUACUCUAGACUUUUGUCAAUUCAUAUAGAACUCAUAGGUAGACAAAUGGAACCAAAUCUAAAGAUUCAUUGUAUCCUUUUAUGUCCUACAUGUGAGAUCUAUCCAUAAUUGAUAAAUCUAAAGUUUGGUUAUCACAUUACAAUAAGUGAUAUAACUUUUGUAUCUCAUCUAGGAUACAACAAGACAAUUUUCAAUUCAUAAUACUAGUUUAAGGAAAUAGUAUAUUAAAAAGGCAUUCUUCACAUUACAUUAAUAUGAUAAUUCAAACAUUCAUAAUGUUUAAUACAAAAAGUAUUAGCUCUAUACAUUUAGAGACUAAUAUAAAUACCUUUAUACAUUUAGGCACUAAUAGUGAUCUUCCAUCAUAUGAAGCCACAUAAUAAGUUCUUAACAAAAUAAGAAAGUUUAAAGACUAUCUUUAAUGCCUAACAAACUUCCUAAGUAGUAAGCAAAAAACAUAGUGGCCGAACCCUUCACCACAUUUUCCUUGCUUGUUCAUCUUCUACUUGGCUUCUCCACCUAUAUACAAUUAUACAAGUGAUUAGCUCUUUAUAUCAAAUAUAAAUAUUUAGAAGAUCUAACAUUUAGAAUUGAAGAUAAGAACAUAAACCAUACCUUGUGGCUUGUCCUUAAGACUUGCAAGGUAUAACCUGCAAUUCCUCCUCCAAUGCCCCUCCUUUCCACAGUGGUGGCAAGUCCCUUUGGGCUCCUUUGCCUUCUUUUUCCUCACUCCUCCUUUCGACUUAGGAGUGGGUGGCUUCUUCUCCUUCCCUUUGCCUUUGCCUUGCGGCUUGGCCUUGGAAGAGGAUGGCUUGUUGUAGACUACUGCAGAAGUCCCUACAACGUUCUCUUUCUUCAUAGUCUUCUCGGCAGUUACUAACAUAUUUAGUAACUCAGAGGGAGUACUAUCCAUCUUAUUCAUAUUGUAGUUCAUUACGAACUGCGCGAAUGAAUCAGAAAGAGAAGCCAUUACGAAGUCCUAGGCCAAUUCCCCGUCAAGUGGAGUACCAAGGUUCUCCAAUUGUUCAAUGAAUCCUAUCAUCUUCAGUACAUGUUGAUGCACUGGAGCCCCCUUGACCAUCUUGGUCUUCACAAGUUCACAAACAGUGCUAAAGCGACAGUUGUGCAUCCCUUCACCAUAUAACUCCGUAAGAUGGAGUAUUAUGGAAGAUGCACUGUCCAUGCCCUUGUGCUGUCUCUGUAGCUCCUCAUUCAUGGAAGCCAACAGAUAGCACUUGGCUUGUGUGUCAUCCUCAACGUGCUUGUCAAACUUAGCACGUUCAUCCUCAGUAGCCUCAAGGCCGAUAGGUAUGUGAGGUGGAGCCUUGUCAAGUACGUAAACAAUCUUCUCCAAUGUUAGGAGAAUCUUGACAUUACGAUACCACGAUGGGAAAUUGUGCCCCUCUAGGCAAUGUUUGUCGAGUAUUUUCGCGAGUGUGCUUCCAACCAUAUCUAAAUACAUAAACAAUAAAAUAAUUAGUUUGAUUGUCGAUUAAGUCAAAUGAUUCGGGUCUUUAAACCGAAUGACACCACCCACCAUUUUUGGCAAAUUUCAUAUCCCUCAAGAUGGAAUCCGGGAGUUUUCAAAGAAAGCUCCUAGCGGGUUAUGGGAGGCUCACUAUUACCAAGCCCACCUCACGAUGAUACGAUGUUGGCUAGCAAAAAUAAUAAUGAGAGGGUACAAUUACCCAUUCACAACAACCUCUUGUGAUUACCCAUCUUUUUGGCCUCUAGAGAGCAAUGCCUCACGAUGAUACGAUGUUGGCAUCAUUUCUCUUAGUUAAGUUCUUUCCCACCAUGCCGGUUUAGAUAGGGGUUCAAGCAUAACCUCACGAUGAUACGAUGUUGGCCACACUCGUUGCCUACCUUAACCUCAUCAAAUGUUUUAAAUAAACUCCUCCUGAGUAUAAGCAUGCACUUUGCACUCCCCCAUGAUAGGGUGAAGGCGAUGUACAAGUCAUAAACGAUUGGAGCCUACCACGGUGGAAGGCCACGAAAAAGUGUUCAAAGCACUCUUACGCUUUCAACUUAAUAUUGUAUGUUGGUUGAGGGAUUUUAAGGUCUCAUCAAUUUUAUUUAUUUAAUCAUAUUCAAAUAAAUAAUGACCUAUUACAACUACUAGUCCAAAGUUAAUGAAAUUAGUAGCAUAUGAUAUCCCCACUAUUCGUUUUCAUAAAACAAAUCAAUAUCAAAAUAUUUUUCAAAAUAUUGGAGAUAUAUAUAACUACUAAUUGUAUUCAUUAUAUUUUAGUAGCGUAUGAUACUUGACACACCCCGAUCCAGAGGAUCCAGGCGUGCUGGCCGUCACGUGAGCGUGACGUAACCAUAAGUGCGACACGGAAGCGAAACAACAUCAUACAUAAGAAGGAAUUCAAACCAAACUCUAGCAGAACAACCUACUAGAAUAACAGGACGGGUUAUAAAGCAAACAAGUGAAUUCAGAGCAUAGGUUUAAGUGCAGUCAAGUAGGACUAAAAUAAAAAUACAUCACCCUCAGGUGAGUCCUACAUGUCAAGAGUCUGUCAGAAUGCCGGAAAAAGACCUCGAGAGCCACCAACUGCUAACUAGAACCUGGAGGGGCGCAAAACAAAAUGAGUGGGUCAGUAAAAUCAAAUAGUUUUCCAAAACAGUUCAGUAAAAACAAUUCUAACCCCUCACCGUAAAAAAACCUGUAUACUUUCCCAGAAAAUAGUAUAUAGACAUAUAUAUAUACGCAACAUCAAACUCAACUCAAUUUCAUCAACAUAAUAUCUCAAUAAUGACAUGCCAUGCCCAAAAUAUGAUCAGAAUACAUCAAUAUCAAUCAGGUGAAUGAUAAAUAAACCGGAGACCCUACAAUUGUCCUGUACGGCUGAUUCUAAAGCUCAACAUCCAAUCCAACCGGAGUCACCUCGGUGACCUGUACGGUUCAACUCUGCACGUCACUCGGAACUACAUAUAGUAGUCUGUAUGAUGACAGGUGUAUAAAUACGCUAUAGUGCUUCUCUCAUCAAUCAUCAACGCGCAUAACUAAGGUCACCCACUAGUCGGAAUCACAUCUAGUGAUCUGUACGGCUAGCAUGUCGGAACCCUCACAUGGUCUGUACGACAUCCACCUACUUGGAUCCAAGACGAGCGUGCGGUGUGGUGAAUAACAAUAUAAGCACUAUCGCCUAAGUGCAGGUCAUGAGCUUUCAAUGCAAUCCAUGAUAAAUAACUCAGCUGAAAAUAAAUAAACUCACCUGAGCGUCCACCGCGUCAUUUCACAUAUAUAUAUGUUAAUUAUCAAACUAAAUAUCUCAACAGUUUCAUGCAUGGCAAAUAGAUUCAUAAUUUUCACAUAAACGGAUUUUCUGGGAAAAAUAGUUGUAUAUAGGUAAAUACGAAAUCAAAACUGCCCACUCACUGAUAAGUCGAGGGGUCGUAACCCCCGUGGCGUCCCUGGAUGCGCUCGUCCUCGGGAUACGUGUCACCUAUAUGCGAAACAACUAUAAAAACGUUAAUUUUAAACACAUCACCAAUAAUUCGAAAUAACUUCUCAUACGAUGCUCAAAUUGGGUAUAUGAAUAUACCACAUCGACCUACUCGACGUCAUGGACGUCGCAUAAUUUUUAGAAAAAUUUUUGGAGGUCCCACGUGCCCCCACGCGCCAUGGGUGGCACGGGUCCACGCGCCCCCCAUGCGCACCUUCUUCCUCCUUGGCUCGCCGGACUGGUUUUUCCGGCGGCCGGUUUCCGGCGAGUUUUGAAACUCUUCGUUCUCCUUCGUUUUUCACCCAUUUUCUUCGUAUUUUAUAUCAAAUUGAAGCCCCAAACAUGAAGAAUCACAAUAGACUAGUUUAAGGCUCUAAAAACAACCAAAUCUCACCGGAAAAAUCCAAGCAAAACCGGCCAAAGUCGAACUCGACGAUCCUGACGUCCAAAACUUCCAAACGAACGUCCCCGAGCUUCCUUAGGACCUCCUAAAGCUCACUAUGAGCUUGGAUUGUCCUAAAAAUCAACCAACAUAAAGUUCAUGAAUAGUGCCACAUUCGGUCCUCGAGUUUUGAAUGUGAAAAGGAAGGAUUUCUUACCUGAAAAUGGUAUCUUUGAGUUCGUAGGACACUCACGAACACGAUGAUACUAAUCUCCACGUCGAUCCAUGAAGUUUGGGUUGGAUUUGGGUGUUGUUCGUACGGUUUGGGUGAGAGAGAGUGAGAGAGGGUGUCGUGAGGGAGGAGAGAGAGAGAGGCUACGGGAUGAGGAGAGAGAGAAAGGGGUUUUUGAUAUCCAACUCAAUCCACACCAUCCAAAUAAUCUCUAACCAAAUUAACAAAAUCAAUUUUUAAUAAGCCAACUUACUUAAAUAUAUAUUUCUUCCAAAACUUGACUAAUAUUUGAACCAAAAAUAAGGUCACAUACAUACGUACCUUAGUACCCGCCAAGGGUAAAAUCGUCCUUUGACGCUCCCGAUAUAUAAAUCCUGGGACGGGCUGUGACAAUCUCCCCUCGUUAUAGAAUUUCGUCCCCGAAAUUCCCAUAACCAAAUAACGCACUUAAUACCCAUAAAAUAGCCUUGGGUACAACUCUCUCAUUCGGUCUUCUGUCUCCCAGGUAGCUUCCUCUACAGAAUGGUUCCUCCACAACACCUUCACCAAACUCACCGUCUUGUUCCUUAGAACCUUAUCUUUCCAAUCCAAGAUCGUGACUGGUUCCUCGUCAUAUCUCAAAUCCGGAUUAAUCUCUAACGGUUGAGGAGGGAUCACAUGAGAAGGAUCAGAAAUAUAAUGUUGAAGCAUAGAGACGUGAAACACAUUAUGGACCUUAGAUAACUCCAGGGGCAACUCCAACCGGUAGGCAACUUCACCAACUCUUUCAGUGAUCACAUAAGGUCCAAUAUAUCUCAGACUUAGCUUCCCUCUUUUUCCAAAUCGUACCACACCUCUCCAAGGUGACAAUUUCAAAAACACCCAAUCGCCCACAUUAUACACUCGAUCAGUAGUAUGUCGAUCCGCUAAACUCUUCUAUCGAUCCUGGGCUGCUUUCAGGUUUGACUUAAUUACCUGAACAUUUUGAGUAAUCUCAUCUACAAUCUCUGGGCCUUCUAACACCCUUUCACCAACCUCAGACCAACAUAAUGGCGUUCGACACGCCCUACCAUAAAGUGCCUCAAAUGGUGACAUACCAAUGCUCGAGUGAAAACUGUUGUUGUAAGCAAACUCCAUCAAGUCCAGACGAUCAUGCCAGGAAUCACCAAAUUGUAAUACUGAAGAUCUCAACAUAUCCUCCAACGUCUGAAUAGUCCUCUCUAAUUGCCCAUCAGUUUGAGGAUGAUAAGCUGUGCUAUAAAGCAAUUGCGUACCAAGAGCUUCCUGAAAAGCCACCCAGAAUUUAGAAGUAAAUCUUGGGUCUCGAUCAGAAAUAAUGUUCACCGGAACUCCAUGAUACUUCACAAUCUUCGUAAUGAACAAUUUAGCCAAUUUAUUCAGAGGAUACUUUUCCCUCACUGGAAUGAAAUGCGCUGACUUGGUAAGUCGAUCCACAAUCACCCAAAUACCAUCGAAUCCAUUUCGUGUACGAGGAAGUUUAUACACGAAAUCCAUGGUUAUAUUUUCCCAUUUCCACUGGGGAACGGGAAGUGGCUGCAUUCACCCAAAUGGCUUCUUCCUUUCUGCUUUAACUUGUUGGCAAAUAAUGCAUCUACUCACAUAGUCUGCAAUUUCCCUUUUCAUACCCGGCCAAUAAUAAAAUGGUCGAAUGGUAUGAUACAUUUUAGUUCCUCCCGGAUGCAUCGCAUAAGCUGAACAAUGCGCUUCAUCCAAAAUUUCCUUCUUUAAUUCCUCAUUAUUCGGAACAUACAUUCUAUUUUCCUGCAUAAGCAUACCAUCUGAUUCCCGAAUUCUGAGGUCUUUCUUUUUCCCUUCACUUCUUAAUUGAACCAGCUCCUGAAUUUCCUCAUCCACCAUCUGAGCUUCGAGUAUACGAUCAAUCAAAACUGGCCUGACUUGAAAACUAGCAAGAAAGGCUCCACUUCGAUCUUCCAACUCCAACCUUACUCCAGUUGCCCUUAGCUCAGCAAGAAGAGGAACACGGCUAGCAUAUAAGGCAUUGAGUCUGCCUUGAGGUUUCCUACUCAGUGCAUCCGCUACCACAUUAGCACGACCCGGGUGAUACUCAAUAGUACAAUCAUAAUCACUUAGCAAUUCCAUCCACCUUCGCUGACGAAGAUUAAGAUCAUGCUGAGUAAACAGAUACUGAAGACUCCUGUGAUCAGUGAAGAUCUUACACUUCUCACCAUACAAAUAAUGCCUUCAAAUCUUCAAAGCAAAAACAAUUGCUGCCAAUUCAAGAUCGUGAGUAGGAUAAUUCCUUUCAUGAUUUUUCAAUUGUCGAGAGGCAUAGGCAAUCAUCUUAUUAUGCUGCAUCAAAACACAUCCCAAACCAUUCAACGAAGCAUCACUAUAAAUCUCAAAAUUACCGCUAUCAUCAGGAAGUACCAAUACUGGGGCAUGAGUGAGGCAAUAUUUCAAUUGCUGGAAACUUCGCUCACAAUUUUCAUCCCACUCGAAUUUAACAUCCUUCCUGGUCAACUUCGUUAACAGCAAAGCAAUCAUAGAGAAAUCCUGAACAAACCGUCGAUAAUAACCUGCUAAACCAAGAAAACUUCGUACCUCAGUGACGGUUCGAGGUUGCUCCCAAUUCUCCACUGCCGCUAUCUUUUGAGGAUCAACUUGGAUUCCUUGAGCCGAUACAACAUGCCCCAAAAAUGCCACUUCAGUCAACCAAAAUUGACAUUUACUGAACUUAGCAUACAACUGAUGCUCCCUCAAUUUCUUUAAUACCAAGUUCAGAAUUCAAAUAUGAUCUGCUUUAGAUUUAGAAUAUACCAGAAUAUCAUCAAUAAAAACAAUAACGAAUUUAUCAAGAUACUGCUGGAAUACCUCAUUCAUCAAUCUCAUGAAAGCUGCAGGUGCAUUAGUCAACCCAAAUGGCAUAACCCGAAAUUCAUAAUGUCCGUAACGGGUUCAGAAAGCUGUCUUAGGUACAUCUUCCUCUUUAAUUUUCAACUGAUAAUAACCGGAUCUCAAAUCAAUCUUAGAGAAGACACACGCACCUUUCAGCUGAUCAAACAAAUCAUCGAUACGAGGCAAUGGAUAACGGUUUUUAAUCGUUACUCGGUUCAAUUGCCUAUAGUCAAUGCAUAACCUCAGAGUUCCAUCUUUCUUCCUCACAAACAAUACUGGAGCACCCCAAGGUGACGAACUAGGCUGAAUGAAACCCUUAUCAAGUAAUUCUUGCAACUGAAUUUUCAAUUCUCUCAACUCAGCAGGAGCCAUUCUAUAAGGAGUUAGGGAUAUAGGGUCAGUACCUGGAAGCAAAUCAAUAGAGAAUUCCACCUCUCUGUCUGGCGGCAGCCCCGGCAAAUCAUCAGGAAAUACAUCAGGAUAAUGCCUGACCACACCAACUUCCUCUAUACUAGUAGGAACAACAUCAUUUAAUACCACAUGUGCCAAAUAUCCCUGACAACCCUUCGAUAAUAAUUUCCUCGCUCUUAUGGCAGAAAUAACGCCAUAUCUCACCCCACCUCUUUCGCUUAUAAAAGUAACCUCGGGUAGUCCAGGGCGAUAAAAAGUAAUUGAUUUACCAUAACAAUCAAUAUGGGCACGAUUAUAAUGCAACCAAUCAGCUCCUAGAAUCACAUCAAAAUCCACAAUAUCUAACGGAAUAAGAUCAGUUGGCAUAACUAUGCCCUCUACCAUCACUGGACACCCAAGAUACACACUAUCAACAUAACAUUUAUCUCCUCUAGGCAUGGCAAACUCUAAAUCAAAUCCUAGAGGUGAAGGGUGAGGUUGGGUCAUUUGAGCAAACGUACGAGAAAUCACAGAGUGCGUAGCACCACAAUCAAUCAAAACCUUAGCAAAAUGACCAAGAACAUUUAACGUACCCAUGAUCAAGUCGGGAUGGUUCUGAGCCUCUUGCAAUGAAAUAUGAUUAACUCGCCCCUGAGCUUGCUGUCGUCCACCACGACCUCUACUGCCUUGAUUACCUCGCCCUUGGGGAGCACGUCCCUGGCCUAACUGACUAGGCUGCCUCGAUGAUCCUGCACCACCAGUAGCAACUUCCCCCUGACGGGGCUGACCUCCUUGAUGCCACUGAGAUCCACCAGUUGGCAUAGAUGAAUAAGAAGAAUAACCCCCAAAGUCCUGAGAAUACCCUGUCUGAGAAUAAGGUUCCUGGGGAUACUGAUAAGGUCCGGGAGCAUACGGAGCAGCAUCCCCCUGGUAGUGGUAGGCACCACCACGACUCGACUGGCCAUAACCGCCUGAUCCAAAGCUCUGCUGAAUCGGCGCUGGAGGUGGCAUAGUGGUCUGCUGCGGUCUCUGCUGACCCUGGGGACAUUGAGAAGCCCGAUGUCCCAUUUUCCCAGAAGUAAAACAAGCACCACUACCUCUCCUACACUCACCAUGAUGACGAAAAUUACAGCGGCGGCACCAUGGAGCGCCAGAACCACCAGAAUCCCUCUGCCUCUGAAAUCUAGGCCCACCAGAAAAUCUACCACCACCUCUCCUUGGGCCAGUAACACUAAAUCCACCACUAGAAGAACUCAAACUUGCUCCACUCUUCUUAAAAUUCUGAGUCUUGCGAGGUCCCGGAAUAGUAAUACCCUUACCUUUAUCAUCCUUUUUCUGACCGUCAUUCUUGUCAUCGUCAUCGUCACUCUCACUGGGAAGAUUAUCAGAGUCCUCCAUCCUGACCAAAAUCUCGAAAAACUCAUGGUAAUUGGCGCAGGGAAGUGCACUGGCAAAAGUACGCCACUUCUUCUUAGAUCCCAACUUGAAACGUCGAAGCAUCUCUCCCUGAUUACCAGCUGUAUCAGGGUCAUAACGAGACAAAUCAGUAAACUUUCUGUAGUACUCAUGAGCUGUCAUAUUCUUCUGUUUCAAUCGAGUGAAUUCCUGUUUCUUGCGAUCAAUAUACUCUGGGGGAACAAAUCUUUUCUUGAAAUUAUCUUUAAAUACUUCCCAAUCAGAUGCCAUAGAUGGGGACAUAAACUGAGUCUGAUUCCUCCACCAACCUGCCAGCUUUCGACCCAAAAACCAAGUAGUGGUCUCAACCCACCUAUCAGCCGGAAAGUUCCCCUGACUUUGCAUUACCUGAAACGUCUUUUCAAUAUGAUCUAGCCAUUUCUCUGCCCCCUCGUGACCUUCAUCACCCAUAAAGCGAUCCAAUUUCAAAUUGUACAUGGUCUCCAGGGGUGUCCUCUGAGGUGGGGGAGGAGGACGAAUCACAUUCUGGAAAGCCUGAGCCAUUGCUUCCCCCAACUGAGUAAUAUCAGGAAAAUUAGGAUCAGGAGUACGGCGGGACUCCCUACGCUCUCUACGAGGCGGCAUAAUUCUGACAGAAAACAUCAAAAGAUCAUUAAAGCAUUAACAAUUAUACAGGACUGCAACCUAAGCUCUGAUACCAAACUGACACACCCCGAUCCAGAGGAUCCAGGCGUGCUGGCCGUCACGUGAGCGUGACGUAACCAUAAGUGCGACACGGAAGCGAAACAACAGCAUACAUAAGAAGGAAUUCAAACCAAACUCUAGCAGAACAACCUACUAGAAUAACAGGACGGGUUAUAAAGCAAACAAGUGAAUUCAGAGCAUAGGUUUAAGUGCAGUCAAGUAGGACUAAAAAAAAAAUACAUCACCCUCAGGUGAAUUCUACAUGUCAAGAGUCUGUCAGAAUGCCGGAAAAAGACCUCGAGAGCCACCAACCGCUACCUAGAACCUGGAGGGGCGCAAAACAAAAUGAGUGGGUCAGUAAAAUCAAAUAGUUUUCCAAAACAGUUCAGUAAAAACAAUUCUAACCCCUCACCGUAAAAAAACCUGUAUACUUUCCCAGAAAAUAGUAUAUAUACAUAUAUAUAUACGCAACAUCAAACUCAAACUCAAUUUCAACAUAAUAUCUCAAUAAUGACAUGCCAUGCCCAAAAUAUGAUCAGAAUACAUCAAUAUCAAUCAGGUGAAUGAUAAAUCAACCGGAGACCCUACAAUGGUCAUGUAAGGCUGAUUCUAAAGCUCAACAUCCAAUCCAACCGGAGUCACCUCGGUGACCUGUACGGUUCAACUCUGCACGUCACUCGGAACUACAUAUAGUAGUCUGUACGAUGACAGGUGUAUAAAUACGCUCUAGUGCUUCUCUCAUCAAUCAUCAGCGCGCAUAACUAAGGUCACCCACUAGUCGGAAUCACAUCUAGUGAUUUGUACGGCUAGCAUGUCGGAACCCUCACAUGGUCUGUACGACAUCCACCUACUUGGAUCCAUGACGAGCGUGCGGUGUGGUGAAUAACAAUAUAAGCACUAUCACCUAGGUGCAGGUCAUGAGCUUUCAAUGCAAUCCAUGAUAAAUAACUCAGCUGAAAAUAAAUAAACUCACCUGAGCGUCCACCGCGUCAUUUCAUAUAUAUAUAUAUGUUAAUUAUCAACCUAAAUAUCUCAACAGUUUCAUGCAUGGCAAAUAGAUUCAUAAUUUUCACAUAAACGGAUUUUCUGGGAAAAACAGUUGUAUAUAGGUAAAUACGAAAUCAAAACUGCCCACUCACUGAUAAGUCGAGGGGUCGUAACCCCCGUGGCGUCCCUGGAUGCGCUCGUCCUCGGGAUACGUGUCACCUAUAUGCGAAACAACUAUAAAAACGUUAAUUUUAAACACAUCACCAAUAAUUCGAAAGAACUUCUCAUACGAUGCUCAAAUUGGGUAUAUGAAUAUACCACGUCGACCUACUCGACGUCACGGACGUCGCAUAAUUUUUAGAAAAAUUUUUGGAGGUCCCACGCGGCCCCACGCGCCGUGGGUGGCACGGGUCCACGCGCCCCCCACGCGCACCUUCUUCCUCCUUGGCUCGCCGGACUGGUUUUUCCGGCGGCCGGUUUCCGGCGAGUUUUGAAACUCUUCGUUCUCCUUCGUUUUUCACCCAUUUUCUUCGUAGUUUAUAUCAAAUUGAAGCCCCAAACAUGAAGAAUCACAAUAGACUAGUUUAAGGCUCUAAAAACAACCAAAUCUUACCGGAAAAAUCCAAGCAAAACCGGCCAAAGUCGAACUCGACGAUCCUGACGUCCAAAACUUCCAAACGAACGUCCCGGAGCUUCCUUAGGACCUCCUAAAGCUCACUAUGAGCUUGGAUUGUCCUAAAAAUCAACCAACAUAAAGUUCAUGAAUAGUGCCACAUUCGGUCUUCGAGUUUUGAACGUGAAAACGAAGGAUUUCUUACCUGAAAAUGGUAUCUUUGAGUUCGUAGGACACUCACGAACACGAUGAUACUAAUCUCCACGUCGAUCCAUGAAGUUUGGGUUGGAUUUGGGUGUCGUCCGUACGGUUUGGGUGAGAGAGAGUGAGAGAGGGUGUCGUGAGGGAGGAGAGAGAGAGAGGCUACGGGAUGAGGAGAGAGAGAAAGGGGUUUUUGAUAUCCAACUCAAUCCACACCAUCCAAAUAAUCUCUAACCAAAUUAACAAAAUCAAUUUUUAAUAAACCAACUUACUUAAAUAUAUAUUUCUUCCAAAACUUGACUAAUAUUUGAACCAAAAAUAAGGUCACAUACAUACGUACCUUAGUACCCGCCAAGGGUAAAAUCGUCCUUUCACGCUCCCGAUAUAUAAAUCCCGGGACGGGCUGUGACAAUACUCCCACUAUUUGUUUUAAGAAAAACAAAUCAAUAUCAAAAACGAAUUUUCAAAUAUUGGAAGUAACUACUACUACUAAGGUUUUUGCAUUCCUUUGAAAUUGGACUUUAUAGUUAUCUUAGGCUCUUGGAUGACCAUGGACUUAUUAGGUUAUUGCAACAACGAGCCAACAUUGUUGAAUAUAAACUCGGGGAGGUUGUGUCAAUUUAAUUAUGUGCUUUUCAAUCCAAUUAAAACAUUUUCAUUGAGCCAUUAGAAAUGAAAGACAAUCAUUCAUUGCUAAUUAGGGAUUGGCAUUUUACCCAUUUUUAAUCUUUAAUCUCAUGUCAAAAACCCUCUUUUAGUUAUGUCUCCUUACCAAUAGUUAAAGAAACUCUAGUCUAGCACUAGAGGGAAUCAACUAACUAAAAGAGAUUGAGAAAUAAUAAGAAUUACAAACCGAUUUGUACAAAUUCCUACAAAUUACACAUACUAAGAGGGAGAGAUAGAUUAAUAUCAAAUGUGACAAGGUCCAAUAAAAAACAGUAAUUAAAACACAUUCCCAAGGUUCAAACAAUUUGAUUUUAGCGCCUUAUCUCAUAGCUCAAUUAUCGUUUAAGGCAUAAGUCCAUAGUCACCCUUUUCUAACUACUUAAUCACAUUAAUAAUCAAAAUGGAAUGCAACAUGAACAUUUAGAUUUAGUGCAUAUGGGCAUAAUAGUAUUAUAAGUUUAAACAACUAACAAAAUUAAAAUCAAAUAUUUUAACUUUCUAGUUAGUAGGGGCCUAAAUGCAAAUAAGAAAAAGUUAGGGGUCAAACCGUAAAUACUCAAAAGUAUAAAAUAUCUUUUUCCAAAUUACAAAACCCCCCCCCAAGUGGAUAAAUCCACUAGGGUGGCCGGCCACAUUAAGGGGAGAUGGGAAGUCUCACCCAUCUUGCUUUAAUUCAAUGCAAAGUAGAAAAAUCCAAAUUUACUUAUCACUUGGUUUUGGCAUUAAAACUUAGGUGAAAAGGAUUGAUGGAAAUUUCCUAGUCAAGUCUAGGAUUUAAUAAAUUUUUGGGAAGGCUAUGGAUGAUAAAUAUAUCAUCCAAAACCAUAAAACAAUUUAUGAAAACCAAAUAAAACCAUUUUCACCAAAAACAAACCAUGAACACCAAGAACAAAACCAUGAACAUAUUUUCAAGAUUUGUGUAUUCUUGGUGAUUUUUCAAACCCAAAAACUAAAGUGACAAGGACUCUACUUUCUAGCUUUAAAAUGAUGUGUGAGUGUCUUACAAUAAAACACAAACACAUGCCCAAAAACCCCCUUAAUGCCGUGCCUACCACAAGGAACAAAACCCCAAAUUUUGUUCAUAACUUACUCUUCAUUCAUGCAUCUAAAACACCUUUUUACAUGCAUAUCUUUUUCAACUCUUGAUUUAUAUUUUUCAAACCAUUGAAAAACAAAAGAUAAACAUACUUUAAAUGAAGAAAUAAUAUGUCAAACUAGUUCAAAAACUCAAUUUUCAUUCAUGCAUACAAAACAUCUUUUGCAAACAUAUCUUUCUCAACUAUUGACAAACAUUUUUCAACUAUUGAAAAAACAAAAGAUAAACAUAUUUUUUUGAAUGAAGCAAAUUAUGUCAUACAUAAUAUUAUACCCAUAUGCAUAAAAUCCAAAAGGACACAUUAUACAUAAACCUUUGGCUCUGAUACCACUUGAAGGGAAAAAUAUGAGUUUAACACAUGGGAUUUCUAAAUGACUAGCAUGCAUAUACAAUUCAAAAUUUAUAUACAUGAGCAACGGAAGCAAUUUAUCAAAUAAUAUCAAAGCUAUAGUCAUGCAAAUCCACUUCAAGGUUCAUAGGUUUAUAUAUAAUGCAUCUAAAACAUUCAAGUAAAGAACUAAGUGAAAGUAUAGAUCUAUACCUCUUGAUCUUGAUUUUAGACCAAGGAUGGACCACCUCCAAGCCCUUUGCUCCUUGAAGUCCUUGAGCCUAGCCUCCCUCCUUGCCUCCUCCACAUUGUUAGUAAGAGUGCUCCAAGGUUCUCCUUUAGCCUCCAAAGGAGAAGACCUCUAAAUAUCCACACCCACUAGUGUAAUGAGAUGGAUGGAGGAAUAACCAAAAGGGUGAAAGAUUGUUAGCUAAAUCACCCUCAAGGUGGCCGGCCUUUUGUGGUUUUAGAGAGAUGUUUCUUUUGCCUCUUUGUUGUUUUAAAACACACAAAAAACCCUAAGGAUUAAAUCUCUAUAAAGUUCCUUAUAUAGACAAAAAGAAAUCUAGUCAACAACUUGACUAAAUAUCUCUCCCUCUCCACUUUAAAGGGCCGGCCCCUUUGUGUUGGUUUGGGUUUUGGGCUUUUAUUUAUUUCUAGUUAUCCAAUGCUUGAAUAAAAGCCCAAUGGGUUUAGGCCCAAUGGGCCCAAUUAAACCCGAACUUUUCUUUAAGCCCAAAACGAUCUUUUAUCGCUUUUAUGAUUUCUUUAGACUUUCUAAAUUAAUCACAACACUUAAUUAAUCCAAUUAAUUAUUUUCAUCAUCCAUUAAUUACUCACUACAAGAGUGUAUCGGUGUACAAUCAUUUUAGGUUCUAAUUAGCAAGGCAGUGAGGUGAUUGACAUCAAUCCAAUUGAUUAUAUUUAAUCCAAUUACUUAGUGAAUUAAAACUUCCUUUUAAUUCACCUUUCUUCUUUGAUGACUACAUUUAAUCAUCUAGAAAAACUCACCAGCUAUGAGUGACAUCUAACCAUAUGUUAUAGCUACUAAUGUAGAAGUUGUUCGGAGAACCUAUUCAGUUGGAAUUACAAUGGAAUUCGAUCCUUCUCUAAAACAAUACUCUCAAUCACAUUACUAGGGUAUGGAUAUAUUAUGUCAAACCCCUAAU
rnacentral:lncRNA from 1 species